rnacentral:rRNA from 1 species
GACGAACGCUGGCGGCGUGCCUAAUACAUGCAAGUAGAACGCUGAAGGAGGAGCUUGCUUCUCUGGAUGAGUUGCGAACGGGUGAGUAACGCGUAGGUAACCUGCCUGGUAGCGGGGGAUAACUAUUGGAAACGAUAGCUAAUACCGCAUAAUAGUAGAUGUUGCAUGACAUUUGCCUAAAAGGUGCAAUUGCAUCACUACCAGAUGGACCUGCGUUGUAUUAGGUAGUUGGUGGGGUAACGGCUCAACAAGGCGACGAUACAUAACCGACCUGGGAGGGUGAUCGGCCACACUGGGACUGGGACACGGCCCAGACUCCUACGGGAGGCAGCCGUAGGGAAUCUUCGGCAAUGGACGGAAGUCUGAACGAGGAAAACCGCGUGAGUGAAGAAGGUUUUCGGAUCGUAAAGAUCUGUUGUAAGAGAAGAACGAGUGUGAGAGUGGAAAGUUCACACUGUGACGGUAUCUUACCAGAAAGGGACGGCUAACUACGUG